rnacentral:rRNA from 1 species
ACCUUGGCGGCGUGCUUACCAUGCAAGUCGAACGGUGAAGCCAAGCUUGCUUGGUGGAUCAGUGGCGAACGGGUGAGUAACACGUGAGCAACCUGCCCUGGACUCUGGGAUAAGCGCUGGAAACGGCGUCUAAUACUGGAUAUGAGCUCCUUCCGCAUGGUGGGGGUUGGAAAGAUUUUUCGGUCUGGGAUGGGCUCGCGGCCUAUCAGCUUGUUGGUGAGGUAAUGGCUCACCAAGGCGUCGACGGGUAGCCGGCCUGAGAGGGUGACCGGCCACACUGGGACUGAGACACGGCCCAGACUCCUACGGGAGGCAGCAGUGGGGAAUAUUGCACAAUGGGCGGAAGCCUGAUGCAGCAACGCCGCGUGAGGGAUGACGGCCUUCGGGUUGUAAACCUCUUUUAGCAGGGAAGAAGCGAAAGUGACGGUACCUGCAGAAAAAGCGCCGGCUAACUACGUGCCAGCAGCCGCGGUAAUACGUAGGGCGCAAGCGUUAUCCGGAAUUAUUGGGCGUAAAGAGCUCGUAGGCGGUUUGUCGCGUCUGCUGUGAAAUCCCGAGGCUCAACCUCGGGCCUGCAGUGGGUACGGGCAGACUAGAGUGCGGUAGGGGAGAUUGGAAUUCCUGGUGUAGCGGUGGAAUGCGCAGAUAUCAGGAGGAACACCGAUGGCGAAGGCAGAUCUCUGGGCCGUAACUGACGCUGAGGAGCGAAAGGGUGGGGAGCAAACAGGCUUAGAUACCCUGGUAGUCCACCCCGUAAACGUUGGGAACUAGUUGUGGGGACCAUUCCACGGUUUCCGUGACGCAGCUAACGCAUUAAGUUCCCCGCCUGGGGAGUACGGCCGCAAGGCUAAAACUCAAAGGAAUUGACGGGGACCCGCACAAGCGGCGGAGCAUGCGGAUUAAUUCGAUGCAACGCGAAGAACCUUACCAAGGCUUGACAUAUACGAGAACGGGCCAGAAAUGGUCAACUCUUUGGACACUCGUAAACAGGUGGUGCAUGGUUGUCGUCAGCUCGUGUCGUGAGAUGUUGGGUUAAGUCCCGCAACGAGCGCAACCCUCGUUCUAUGUUGCCAGCACGUAAUGGUGGGAACUCAUGGGAUACUGCCGGGGUCAACUCGGAGGAAGGUGGGGAUGACGUCAAAUCAUCAUGCCCCUUAUGUCUUGGGCUUCACGCAUGCUACAAUGGCCGGUACAAAGGGCUGCAAUACCGUAAGGUGGAGCGAAUCCCAAAAAGCCGGUCCCAGUUCGGAUUGAGGUCUGCAACUCGACCUCAUGAAGUCGGAGUCGCUAGUAAUCGCAGAUCAGCAACGCUGCGGUGAAUACGUUCCCGGGUCUUGUACACACCGCCCGUCAAGUCAUGAAAGUCGGUAACACCUGAAGCCGGUGGCCCAACCCUUGUGGAGGGAGCCGUCGAAGGGGGAUUUGA